rnacentral:rRNA from 1 species
CAGUCGCCGCGGGAAUACGUAGGGUGCAAGCGUUAAUCGGAAUUACUGGGCGUAAAGCGUGCGCAGGCGGUUCGUUAAGACAGAUGUGAAAUCCCCGGGCUCAACCUGGGACCUGCAUUUGUGACCGUAUAGCUAGAGUACGGUAGAGGGGGAUGGAAUUCCGCGUGUAGCAGUGAAAUGCGUAGAUAUGCGGAGGAACACCGAUGGCGAAGGCAAUCCCCUGGACCUGUACUGACGCUCAUGCACGAAAGCGUGGGGAGCAAACAGGAUUAGAUACCCCCGUAGUCCCUGUCUCUUAUAC